GGGGGCGUUAAGGUUUCGACGGGAUUGUUGAAACUAGAGAAGCGGGUAGUGGAUUCUCGUUGGCCACUUAAAAAAACGAGAAACUUGAAUUAAACGCUAACGAUAAUUUAGCUUACGCUGCUUAAUUAAAGCAGCCGUCCUGCCUGGGAGGACCACGGCCUGGGAUAGGGCGUCGACAGUGGUGAACGUGACACGGCAAAGCUUUGAGUUGUGCAUGACAAAUGAAGCUACUGAAGUUGCAAGCCUGUUCAUGGGCGUGCAGCAGAGGGAAUGAAAAAAACAUGAACUGCACCCGGAGAUGCUCUUGUGAAUACGGUUUCGGACGCGGGUUCGAUUCCCGCCGCCUCCACCA
rnacentral:tmRNA from 1 species